rnacentral:rRNA from 1 species
AGCAUAUCAAUAAGCGGAGGAAAAGAAACUAACAAGGAUUCCCCUAGUAACUGCGAGUGAAGCGGGAAAAGCUCAAAUUUAAAAUCUGGCGGCUUUGGUCGUCCGAGUUGUAUUCUAGAGAAGUGUUUUCCGCGUUGGACCGUGUAUAAGUCUCUUGGAACAGAGCGUCAUAGAGGGUGAGAAUCCCGUCUUUGACACGGACUACCAAUGCUUUGUGAUACACUCUCAAAGAGUCGAGUUGUUUGGGAAUGCAGCUCAAAAUGGGUGGUAAAUUCCAUCUAAAGCUAAAUAUUGGCGAGAGACCGAUAGCGAACAAGUACCGUGAGGGAAAGAUGAAAAGCACUUUGGAAAGAGAGUUAAACAGUACGUGAAAUUGCUGAAAGGGAAACGCUUGAAGUCAGUCGCGUUAUCUAGAACUCAACCAGGCUUGCUUGGCGUAUUUUCUAGUUAACGGGCCAGCAUCAGUUUUGACUGCAGGAAAAAGGCCAGGGAAAUGUGGCACCCUCGGGUGUGUUAUAGUCUCUGGUCAUAUACUGUGAUUGGGACUGAGGACCGCAGCACGCGCAAGCUGUGCUUAGGAUGCUGGCGUAAUGGCUUUAAACGACCCGUCUUGAAACACGGACCAAGGAGUCUAACAAACCUGCGAGUAUUUGGGUGGUAAACCCGAGUGCGCAAUGAAAGUGAAAGUUGGGAUCUCUGUCGUGGAGAGCACCGACGCCCGGACCAGACCUUCUGUGACGGAUCUGCGGUAGAGCAUGUUUGUUGGGACCCGAAAGAUGGUGAACUAUGCCUGAAUAGGGUGAAGCCAGAGGAAACUCUGGUGGAGGCUCGUAGCGAUUCUGACGUGCAAAUCGAUCGUCAAAUUUGGGUAUAGGGGCGAAAGACUAAUCGAACCAUCUAGUAGCUGGUUCCUGCCGAAUUUCCCCCUCAGGAA